UAUUCAAAUGCAAUUUAAGCCCGGGUAAGGUUCCUCGCGUAUCAUCGAAUUAAACCACAUGUUCCUCCGCUUGUGCGGGCCCCCGUCAAUUCCUUUGAGUUUCACCGUUGCCGGCGUACUCCCCAGGUGGAAUACUUAAUGCUUUCGCUUGGCCGCUUACUGUAUAUCGCAAACAGCGAGUAUUCAUCGUUUACUGUGUGGACUACCAGGGUAUCUAAUCCUGUUUGAUACCCACACUUUCGAGCAUCAGUGUCAGUUGCAGUCCAGUGAGCUGCCUUCGCAAUCGGAGUUCUUCGUGAUAUCUAAGCAUUUCACCGCUACACCACGAAUUCCGCCCACCUCUACUGUACUCAAGACAGCCAGUAUCAACUGCNAAUUUUACGGUUGAGCCGCAAACUUUCACAACUGACUUAACUGUCCACCUACGCUCCCUUUAAACCCAAUAAAUCCGGAUAACGCUCGGAUCCUCCGUAUUACCGCGGCUGCUGGCACGGAGUUAGCCGAUCCUUAUUCAUAUGGUACAUACAAAAUUCCACACGUGGAAAACUUUAUUCCCAUAUAAAAGAAGUUUACAACCCAUAGGGCAGUCAUCCUUCACGCUACUUGGCUGGUUCAGACUCGCGCCCAUUGACCAAUAUUCCUCACUGCUGCCUCCCGUAGGAGUUUGGACCGUGUCUCAGUUCCAAUGUGGGGGACCUUCCUCUCAGAACCCCUAUCCAUCGAAGGUUUGGUGAGCCGUUACCUCACCAACUGCCUAAUGGAACGCAUCCCCAUCGAUAACCGAAAUUCUUUAAUAAUAAGACCAUGCGGUCUAAUUAUGCCAUCGGGUAUUAAUCUUUCUUUCGAAAGGCUAUCCCCGAGUUAUCGGCAGGUUGGAUACGUGUUA
rnacentral:rRNA from 1 species